rnacentral:rRNA from 1 species
UGGGGAAUUUUGCACAAUGGGGGAAACCCUGAUGCAGCGACGCCGCGUGAUUUAGAAGGCCUUCGGGUUGUAAAAAUCUUUUCUAUGGGAAGAAAAUGACAGUACCAUAGGAAUAAGGACCGGCUAAUUACGUGCCAGCAGCCGCGGUAAUACGUAAGGUCCGAGCGUUGUCCGGAAUCAUUGGGCGUAAAGGGUACGUAGGCGGGUAAGCAAGUUAGAAGUGAAAUCCUAUAGCUCAACUAUAGUAAGCUUUUAAAACUGCUCAUCUUGAGGUAUGGAAGGGAAAGUGGAAUUCCUAGUGUAGCGGUGAAAUGCGCAGAUAUUAGGAGGAAUACCGGUGGCGAAGGCGACUUUCUGGCAUAACCUGACGCUGAGGUACGAAAGCGUGGGUAGCAAACAGG